rnacentral:rRNA from 1 species
ACGACUCUCGGCAACGGAUAUCUCGGCUCUCGCAUCGAUGAAGAACGUAGCGAAAUGCGAUACCUGGUGUGAAUUGCAGAAUCCCGCGAACCAUCGAGUCUUUGAACGCAGGUUGCGCCCGAGGCCACUCGGCCGAGGGCACGCCUGCCUGGGCGUCACGC